AAGCCAUGGUGAGGACAAUCGCGUUUGUAGUCCUUGAAACAUUCCUAUGUUUCGUAAAAAGAUUCAACAUGUCCUUGUUAGAAUCCUUACAACUUGUUUUGCAGUGAGUUG
rnacentral:snoRNA from 1 species